CAGUAGCCGCGGUAAUACGUAGGUGGCAAGCGUUGUCCGGAAUUAUUGGGCGUAAAGGGCUCGCAGGCGGUUUCUUAAGUCUGAUGUGAAAGCCCCCGGCUCAACCGGGGAGGGUCAUUGGAAACUGGGAAACUUGAGUGCAGAAGAGGAGAGUGGGAUUCCACGUGUAGCGGUGAAAUGCGUAGAGAUGUGGAGGAACACCAGUGGCGAAGGCGACUCUCUGGUCUGUAACUGACGCUGAGGAGCAAAAGCGUGGGGAGCGAACAGGAUUAGAUACCCCCGUAGUCCCUGUCUCUUAUAC
rnacentral:rRNA from 1 species